rnacentral:Y_RNA from 1 species
GGCUAGUCCAAAGGUAGUAAGUUAUCUCAAUUGCUCACAGCCAGUUAUAGACUGAACUCUUUGUUCUAUUUGCUCCUCCCUCUCACUACUGUACUUAAUUAGUUUUUU